rnacentral:rRNA from 1 species
CACGUAGGGCGCGAGCGUUGUCCGGAAUUAUUGGGCGUAAAGAGCUCGUAGGCGGCCUGUUGCGUCCGCUGUGAAAGUCCGGGGCUCAACUCCGGAUCUGCGGUGGGUACGGGCAGACUAGAGUGAUGUAGGGGGAGACUGGAAUUCCUGGUGUAGCGGUGAAAUGCGCAGAUAUCAGGAGGAACACCGAUGGCGAAGGCAGGUCUCUGGGCAUUAACUGACGCUGAGGAGCGAAAGCAUGGGGAGCGAACAGG